AUAUACGUAUCCUGGAAGCUUGAUUUAAAGUAUGUUUCUGAAAUGCUGCAAUUAUUUUAUUUUUCUUUUGAUGAUCAGUUGUAUUUUCUUUGCACUGACUUCUGUGUGGUUGUGUAAUACUGCAUGCUUAUGUAGCCUUCAGAUUUAGAUUUGAUAAUCUACCUAACUUCUUACUUUCCUGAGUGGCUAGUCAGCCUGAAUUUGAAGAAUUGGGAUGCUGAACCAUCAAUAUCAGAUUAACAGGAGUGUGAAACCCGAGAAAGAAAGGAGGCUGGAGUGACGCUGAUUACACUGGAAGGCCUUGAUAGCACUUACCAUGCACCUGGCUACGUGACUCCUAUUCCCCUAUCAUGGGGAAGAGAUGAGUUUUCUCCCUUCAUGUGACAACAAUGUUUUCAUGUCAUUGAUAUUUUUUAUUUAAUGCUGCUAGUAACCACACACUGUAAAGCGGAGCCAGCGUUUGGAAAAUGCAAUUUGUUCCUCAAAGAAAGGAAUGAGGAAAGAUGUUUCAGUGGGAGACUGCAAGUAAAGAGUGUUAAUACUGCACUUAGCUGUGACUCACUUUGCAGAUCCUGGCCUUACAGACAGGGAAGACUUCUUGAUCCUUUUGUGAAAAGAAGAGAAGGCUUUUACAUGCAGUGCUGGCAAGCUCUGGCUGACAUGGGCAGCAUUGGGCUUUCUGCUGCAAGUUGCUGACCUAGACUUCUGGGAAGCACCUUUAUGUUCAAGUACUGACUUCCUACCCAGCCAGAGAGGGGUGCCUGACAGGUGCUGGACCUCCAAGUUAAAGCAGUGUCUAUAUACUCAAGGUUACACUUUAAAUUGAACCUGGAAACAGUCAGCAGUACAGCCUGAGUUGCUGGAAUUAUUGCAGCUGAUUUUGCCCCAGGCACGGUUCACUGGGGAGUUGGUACCUGGGGUUCUGUUGAUAUCCCUGUCACUGGCAAGG